AACAAAACAUACGCAGCUUCCAUGCCAAACAAAAUUCUCUCCUCUUUCUCUCUAAAAUUCUUGAUAGCUACCGAUGGCAACCACAAUUAUGAGAAAUGAGCAGAUGGAUUCAGAAGCCGAGGUUCAGGAAAUUCCUCAACUUGAAGGCAACAAUACUCCAGUUAUUGAUUAAAGUGUUCCUACUCCUCCUAAAAAGCAUAAAAGAGCAGCACCUUCUGAAAAUGAUUUUGGCCUUAGGAAACAUUAGACAUUUGGAAAUACUUUUCCAAUUUUUUUGAUAAAGAUAGUAAGCAUAAGUCAAAAUGUAGUUUCUGUACUAAAACUUUUGCUUCCGAUACUAAGAAAAAUGGAACUACUACAUUAUGGAA